AGAAAGAUCGCCAAGAGGUAAGGCAUGGGCCUCAUGAGCCUACAGGCGCAAGUUCGAGUCUUGCUCUUUCUA
rnacentral:tRNA from 1 species